rnacentral:tRNA from 1 species
GGGCCCGUGGUCUAGUUGGCUAUGACGUCUCCCUGACACGGAGGAGGUCCUGGGUUCAAAUCCCAGCGGGCCCA